GCGGGAAUAGCUCAGUUGGUAGAGCGUCUGCUUCCCAAGCAGAAGGUCGCGAGUUCGAGACUCGUUUCCCGCUCAA
rnacentral:tRNA from 7 species